UGGGGGAUAUUGCACAAUGGGCGAAAGCCUGAUGCAGCGACGCCGCGUGGGGGAUGAAGGCCUUCGGGUUGUAAACUUCUUUUGCUCUGAACAAGGCGCACCAUGGGGUGUGUUGAGUGUUGGGGUUGAUUAGCGCCGGCUAACUACGUGCCAGCAGCCGCGGUAAUACGUAGGGCGCGAGCGUUGUCCGGAAUUAUUGGGCGUAAAGGGCUUGUAGGUGGCUGGUUGCGUCUGUCGUGAAAGCUCAUGGCUUAACUGUGGGUUUGCGGUGGGUACGGGCUGGCUUGAGUGCAGUAGGGGAGGCUGGAAUUCCUGGUGUAGCGGUGGAAUGCGCAGAUAUCAGGAGGAAUACCGGUGGCGAAGGCGGGUCUCUGGGCUGUUACUGACACUGAGGAGCGAAAGCAUGGGGAGCGAACAGG
rnacentral:rRNA from 1 species